AGACCAGUGACGCAGUGGUUAGCGUUCCGUUCUUAUAUGACUCUCAGAAGCGCCCAGAGCAACUUUGUUUUGGUGUGGCCUGAACUCAUAUGAAUUAUUCCUCAGUGAUGCGGGGGUCGUGGGUUCGAAUCCCACUUGGUCUA
rfam:Emmonsia parva TAMH 139 supercont1.2574, whole genome shotgun sequence.